AUCAUAGAUGAUGAUGAGAUGGCUCACUAUAUAUUAACUGGUCUUGAUUUCGAUUACAACCCCUUUGUAUCAUCUAUCAUGGGUCAAGUGGGGUCUAUCUCCUUGGGAGAUCUAUACUGCCAGCUUCUCUUCUAUG
rfam:Setaria italica strain Yugu1 chromosome IX, whole genome shotgun sequence.